CGGAGGGUGCAAGCGUUAUCCGGAUUCACUGGGUUUAAAGGGUGCGUAGGUGGGUUAGUAAGUCAGUGGUGAAAUCCCCGAGCUUAACUUGGGAACUGCCAUUGAUACUAUUAAUCUUGAAUACCGUGGAGGUCAGCGGAAUAUGUCAUGUAGCGGUGAAAUGCUUAGAUAUGACAUAGAACACCAAUUGCGAAGGCAGCUGGCUACGCGAAUAUUGACACUGAUGCACGAAAGCGUGGGGAUCAAACAGGAUUAGAUACCCUGGUAGUCCACGCCCUAAACUAUGGAUACUCGACAUCAGCGAUACACUGUUGGUGUCUGAGCGAAAGCAUUAAGUAUCCCACCUGGGAAGUACGAUCGCAAGAUUG
rnacentral:rRNA from 1 species